AACAGGAUUAGAUACCCUGGUAGUCCACGCUGUAAACGGUGGGUACUAGGUGUGGGGUCCAUUCCACGGGUUCCGUGCCGUAGCUAACGCUUUAAGUACCCCGCCUGGGGAGUACGGCCGCAAGGCUAAAACUCAAAGGAAUUGACGGGGCCCCGCACAAGCGGCGGAGCAUGCGGAUUAAUUCGAUGCAACGCGUAGAACCUUACCUGGGUUUGACAUGGAUCGGGAGCGCUCAGAGAUGGGUGUGCCUCUUUUGGGGUCGGUUCACAGGUGGUGCAUGGCUGUCGUCAGCUCGUGUCGUGAGAUGUUGGGUUAAGUCCCGCAACGAGCGCAACCCUUGUUCACUGUUGCCAGCACGUUAUGGUGGGGACUCAGUGGAGACCGCCGGGGUCAACUCGGAGGAAGGUGGGGAUGACGUCAAGUCAUCAUGCCCCUUAUGUCCAGGGCUUCACGCAUGCUACAAUGGCUGGUACAGAGAGUGGCGAGCCUGUGAGGGUGAGCGAAUCUCGGAAAGCCGGUCUCAGUUCGGAUUGGGGUCUGCAACUCGACCUCAUGAAGUCGGAGUCGCUAGUAAUCGCAGAUCAGCAACGCUGCGGCGAAUACGUUCCCGGGGCUUGUACACACCGCCCGUCAAGUCAUGAAAGUUGGUAACACCCGAAGCCGGUGGCCUAACCGUUGUGGGGGAGCCGUCGAAGGUGGGACUGGUGAUUAGGACUAAGUCGUAACAAGGUAACC
rnacentral:rRNA from 1 species